UACGUAGGGUGCGAGCGUUAAUCGGAAUACUGGGCGUAAAGCGUGCGCAGGCGGUGAUGUAAGACAGAUGUGAAAUCCCCGGGCUCAACCUGGGAACUGCAUUUGUGACUGCAUCGCUGGAGUGCGGCAGAGGGGGAUGGAAUUCCGCGUGUAGCAGUGAAAUGCGUAGAUAUGCGGAGGAACACCGAUGGCGAAGGCAAUCCCCUGGGCCUGCACUGACGCUCAUGCACGAAAGCGUGGG
rnacentral:rRNA from 1 species